UGCGGUUCCCAGACUGCCUGCAGAAAGCAUACUGGCAUGAAGUUGCCUUCUUCCACCACUAGAUGGCGGAUGGAGGUCACACAUGAACGUGAAUGCCCACAUCAGAUUUAUCCACUUGACUGUUCUUCGCCAAACACACUGAGCCACGUACAGCAUGCUCAUGCUGCGAGGCUCCCCGGAUGAAGAUGACACAGUAGGGUUGUGCGGUGUCAGGUAGAUGGCGACACUGAAGCCUGCAAUGGAGGCAGGUGUUGCUUUCUUCUGAUCUCCUCAGAGAUGCUGUGUGAUCUGAUCUGAGUCAGUGAUCCUUUCUGUGACUGAACGUUGAUGAGUUCCAUCUUGUGCCGGCCUUGUGUGACAAUCACAGCUGCUGAGAGUUCAAGGGUGCAAUGGCAUGGUAAACAUCUGCAAUGGUAAACAUCUGGGAAAAAGCAUUCCAAGGCAUUUCACCUUUUCCUCCAGCUCGUACACACUCUUUCUAUCUCCUGCCCUGUGAUGUUCCUGGAGUAUUAUGGUGUGUGUGUGUGUGUGUGUGUGUGUGUGUGUGUGUGUUUAUUGCUACAUUUAGGGCUCACUUUUUUAACAGUCAGUUAUUCUCAGCCCUUUGACAGCUUAUGGUAACUAUCACUGCUACCACCUUUCUUACCAUCACAAUAGUCAUCACCAUCGUCACCACCAUCAUCAUUAUCUGCCUGUCAACGUGAUCACCAGCUCUCCCAUUACUGUCACCACCAUCGUCCCCUCUCACCAUUAUCAAUGCCACCAUCAUCCUGACUAUAGUAGGAUACUAUAGUCACCACCACCAUCACCACCACCUUUGCACUGGCUAGUUCUCAUGUCAACUUGACAUAAGCUAUGGUCAGUCAUUAGUGGGAAGGAGCCUUGAUUGAGAAAAUGCCCUUGUAAGGCUGGGGUGUAGGCGACCCUGUAGGGCAUUUUCUUAAUUAGUGGUUAAUGUGGGAGGACCCAGCCCAUUGUGGGUGCUGCUAUUCCUGGGCUGGUGUCCUGGGUGCUAUAAGAAAGCAGACUGAGCAAGCCAUGAGGAGCAAGCCAGUAAGCAGCACCUCUCUAUGGUCUCUGGUCCAAUUUCUGCCUCUAAGUUCCUAUCUUGAGUUCCCCCGCUUGGUUUCUCUUAAUGGAUUGCUAUUCAGGGUAUGUAAACUAAAUAAACCCUUUUCUCCCAAGGUUGCUUUUGUCUGAGGUGUUUUAUCAUAGGAGUAGUAGCCCUAACUAGACAACCAUAGUUAUCACCACUAGACUCAUUACAGUAGCAACACUAUCACCAUCACUCAUUACCAUAGCAACACUGUCACCAUCACUCAUUAUCAUAGCAACACUGUCAUCAUCACUCAUCACCUAGCAACAUUCACCCACCAUCACUCAUUACCAUAGCAACACUGUCACCAUCACUACUACUAUUGUCCUCACAACCUUUGCUAUCAAAUCCAUCAUUACCAUUAUCACUAUCUGUAAAUAACAUAGCCCUAGGUGGAAGCACAAACAAGAGGAUUAUAAUUGAUUGAAACUUAAGAUUCCUGUGUAAUUUAAUCUCAUGGCAAAAGCCAGGAAAAUGAGUGAGCCUUCUAAAGAAAGAUAAUAUAAAAAGAAGUUCAAAUACCAAUGAGUGAUGAAGGUCACAGGGGAUGGAGGAAUGUGGCUAGAGGCAGGAAGAACACGGUGCUCCUGUGGACCAGCUGGUGCUAAGUGAGGCCCAUGCAAAUGCACAGCUCGCCAAGACCAAAUGCUUUCACAGAGGCUGGGCCCAACUCAUGUGGGAAGGCAGAGUUGCUCUGAGCAGUGGAUGGAAUUUGUGAGGCACCUUGUGGAACUAGGCAUCACCAAGUGUCACCACUUUGCUGCCCUGGCACCUCAGGGGCGUCCAGAGUUACCAUUCCACCACCAGAUACCAG
rnacentral:lncRNA from 1 species